UUCUGCCCUGGACCUCUCAGGGGCGGCUGGCCCAGACCACACCUGGAUUUCACAUUCUGGCCUCCAGAGCUUGGAGGGGAUAAAUUCCUAUUGUGUAGUUGAAGUUUGUGGUCCUUUGUUUUGAGUGCCCCAGGACACCCAGUCAGAUGGUCCUGGUGGGACUGGUUCUGCUAUCAGCUGAUGCCCUCUACGCUUUCAGGGAACACUCCCACCCCACCCCUGCUACUCCUUUAGGUCCUGCUCUCUGCUCAGCCUGACACUCUCCCCGUCGACCCCUCGAAACCAGUCAUAUGCUUGUGGUCAGAGUCCCAGCACCUCCUCCAGGAAGCCCUCCUGGAAAUACCCUGUAUUGUGAUCUACCAUUGCAGUCGCCAGCCCCUUUCCUCUGCCUCUCACAGGUCACGGGGUCCCCAAAGUUCAGGGGACCCACAACAGAUUCUCAAGGACGUGCUUCCUUUCCUGGCUUGAAGGGGGGCGGCACCCUGCUCUGUCCCUUUUCUCCGGAGGUGGCAAGCACGCAGCUUACAGCACAGCCUCCUUCGAAGAACUCCCCAUCAAACCCUCUCCAAACCCGCCUUCCCCAAGCCCUUCAGAGCCCAGUCAAGCUGAGUUAUGAAACCCGCUGUGAGCCGUUGAUGUUGGAAAUCUUCACUGUGGUCUGGCGCCUCUCACUGGCCACUGUGUCCACUUAUUUGGGUCUGAAUGAAAACAUCUAUCGUAGCAUCCCGUUACUCUAGCAAGAUCCAGCUCUCGGGAUCACUGAUGUUUCCCGGCUCGCCACCUUCGGGGCGUGUGAUGGGUGGCACUUCCGGGCUCCGCUGUGGUUGGCUAGAGCCAUGUGAUGAGGGCUGGCCAAUCCGCUGCAAGCAGAAGCGAUGACAUCAUUGCCAGGUCAACGUAUUUAACCGCUGAUGCGGGACCCUCUGCUUUCUUUGCUGCGGUGACUGAGAACGUUCCAGAUAGUUACUGCCUUGUCAGCCUGGAUCCUGCCCUGCGGAUGAUCCAAAGAGAGGCCCCAGGUAGUUCCAAAAGUCAUGUAACCUGAGCCAGAAACCAACUGCUAAGUCACUGAGACGUUGGGGUUUCCCACCAUGACCUCGUGUCUCGGUCGGUGUGUCAGUAUUCUACAACCGCUGUAACAAAUGCCCACAAACUUUUCUUUCCUUACGGUUCUGGAGGUCAGAAGUCUGAAAUUCGUUUCACUAGACCGGAGGAAAGGAGACCUCACCCAGGUGCCUUAGUGCCUCUCUGAUGCUGGCUGAGCCAGGUCAAGAUGGACCAGUGGCUGGAACCUGGAAGAUGUGCUCCAGAGAGAGACAGAGCAUGAGAGAGGGAGGAGAUACAGAACCG